UGGCUUGUAGCUCAAGAGGCGGAGUACGCGAUUCUUAAUCGUGGGGUUGUGGGUUCGAUUCCCACCAGGCCAACAA
rnacentral:tRNA from 1 species